AGGAGGACAAAUUAUACUAGAAGCUUGGCUGUCAUGAGCAUGGGAUUCUUUGUUAUUCUUUCAUGGAUGCCUAUAUAUUUUAAAACAUCAAUUGGUUUUGUUGGUCCUGGGAUUGCGCUCAAUGGUCUAACCAUGGCAAAGCACACAUCAAUAGCAUCUGCUUGGCUUACUUUAGCUGUUGGGCUAAAAUCAUUUAGUCAUUGUGGG